AGAGUAAAAAGGAAAGAAAUUAUAUUAAAAAGCUAUCAAAAUAUUAAAAAAAACAAUUCAUGCUUUCUAGGUUAAGAACUUCUGGUUUAGAAUAAUUUACUGGAUGACAUAUCCAUAAUGAAUGAAUAGAAAUAUUUUAUUAAGCUCUUUCUCUAUGCCAAAUACUGCUCAAUUAAAAGACACAAAUACAAAAGCAAAUGCAGUUCCUUCCAUCAAGAUGCCAUAUUCUAGUGGAAAAAGAGAUUCCAUAUAUAAGGAAGUUAUAAUCAGGCAGAGGGAUUUUAUACAGAAACUUACAGAGAAGAAGCAGAAGAGUAGGGGAAUUAAGGCCAUACAAGGAGGUCAGCAAAUCAACUGAUGAGAAGAUGGCAGAAUGGAUGCUAAGGAGAGGAAACUUAGACUCAAUCUGUCAGAGGAACAAGACAAGCCAGGGAAAGGCAAGAGGAAUAGAGAAUUCCAGAGGAAGAACAGAGAAGAGCUGAGAAAAUCCAAGCAGUUCACUUCACUUCAAUUUGGGAAGCACCUCAGAAAGGUUGCUCUGAAAGCACCUCUGAGCCCUGGUCAUCUUUCUGUGAAUCUAGACCCCUGAAUCCAGCAGAAGACAACAGGAGUGGAUAGCACUUUUGAUAUAAAGCUGCCCACCUCAAGAAGACUUCCUCUCCAUCUCUCCAAAGCUGUUCUGAACUUCAAAUCAUAGCUAGGACACUUAGAAGUCAGGACAGCUCUCACAAUUGACCCCAAAGGGUCAGGCAGGCAAAGCCUGACCCCAUAGGAUUUGGGGAGAAGGGGUUCAAUUGUUAGGUAUUAGGGAAUUCCUAUUUCCCACUUUCCCAAUACCUUAUCCCUCAAUCUCACUUCCUUACCCUUUGUGUGUUCCUCAAAUAAAUAGCUCUUUCUAUAGACCUAGUGCCUGCUC
rnacentral:lncRNA from 1 species